GCUCAGGACGAACGCGGUCGGCAUGCCUAACACAUGCAAGUCGAGGGGCCCUUCGGGGUCACUGGCGCACGGGUGAGUAACACGUAGGUCAUCUGCCCCUAUCACAGACAUAACUCCGGGAAACCGGUGCUAAUAUCUGAUGAGGUCGCGAGAUCAAAGCUUCGGCGGAUAGGGAUGAGCCUGCGGCUGAUUAGCUAGUUGGUGAGGUAACGGCUCACCAAGGCGACGAUCAGUAGCUGGUCUGAGAGGACGAACAGCCACACUGGAACUGAGACACGGUCCAGACUCCUACGGGAGGCAGCAGUGAGGAAUAUUGGUCAAUGGGAGCAAUCCUGAACCAGCAAUGCCGCGUGUGGGAUGACAGGGCUCAGCCUUGUAAACCACUGUCGGAUGGGACGAGAGGGGGCCUUAGGCCCCUGGGACGGUACCAUCAAAGGAAGGGUCGGCUAACUACGUGCCAGCAGCCGCGGUAAUACGUAGGACCCGAGCGUUGUCCGGAUUCACUGGGUAUAAAGGGUGCGUAGGCGGCCUUGUGCGUCAGAGGUGAAAUAUCCGGGCUUAACCCGGAGGGUGCCUUUGAUACGGCAGGGCUUGAGUCCGAGAGAGGGUGAUGGAAUUCCUGGUGUAGCGGUGAAAUGCGUAGAUAUCAGGAGGAACACCGGUGGCGAAGGCGGUCACCUGGCUCGGAACUGACGCUGAGGCACGAAAGCGCGGGGAUCAAACAGGAUUAGAUACCCUGGUAGUCCGCGCCCUAAACGAUGUAUGCUUGGUGUUGGACCUUUCGGGGUUCAGUGCCGUAGGGAAUCUGGUAAGCAUACCACCUGGGGAGUACGAUCGCAAGGUUGAAA
rnacentral:rRNA from 1 species